rnacentral:rRNA from 1 species
AGGAACUAGGCAAAAUAGUACCGUAACUUCGGGAGAAGGUACGCCCCUAGUACGUGAAGGCCCAGCGGCCGGAGCGGACAGGGGUUGCAGUGACCAGGUGGCUGCGACUGUUUACUAAAAACACAGCACUCUGCAAACGCGUAAGCGGUCGUAUAGGGUGUGACGCCUGCCCGGUGCCGGAAGGUUAAGUGAUGGGGUUAGCCGCAAGGCGAAGCUCUUGAUCGAAGCCCCGGUAAACGGCGGCCGUAACAAUAACGGUCCUAAGGUAGCGAAAUUCCUUGUCGGGUAAGUUCCGACCUGCACGAAUGGCGUAACGAUGGCCACGCUGUCUCCACCAGAGACUCAGUGAAAUUGAAAUCUCGGUUAAGAUGCCGAGUACCCGCGGCUAGACGGAAAGACCCCGUGAACCUUUACUAUAGCUUCACACGGGACUUUGAAUCGACUUGUGUAGGAUAGGUGGGAGGCUAAGAAGCCCGGACGCCAGUUCGGGUGGAGCCACCCUUGAAAUACCACCCUGGUCGAUUUGAAGUUCUAAUCCAGGCCCGUGAUCCGGGUCGGGGACAGUGUGUGGUGGGUAGUUUGACUGGGGCGGUCUCCUCCCAAAGAGUAACGGAGGAGCACGAAGGUACCCUCAGCGCGGUCGGAAAUCGCGCAGUGAGUGCAAAGGCAUAAGGGUGCUUGACUGCGAGACAGACACGUCGAGCAGGUACGAAAGUAGGUCUUAGUGAUCCGGUGGUUCUGUAUGGAAGGGCCAUCGCUCAACGGAUAAAAGGUACUCCGGGGAUAACAGGCUGAUACCGCCCAAGAGUUCAUAUCGACGGCGGUGUUUGGCACCUCGAUGUCGGCUCAUCACAUCCUGGGGCUGAAGUCGGUCCCAAGGGUAUGGCUGUUCGCCAUUUAAAGUGGUACGCGAGCUGGGUUUAGAACGUCGUGAGACAGUUCGGUCCCUAUCUGCUGUGGGCGUUGGAGACUUGCGGGAAGCUGCUCCUAGUACGAGAGGACCGGAGUGGACGUACCCCUGGUGUUCCGGUUGUCACGCCAGUGGCAUUGCCGGGUAGCUACGUACGGACGGGAUAACCGCUGAAAGCAUCUAAGCGGGAAGCCCCUCCCAAGAUGAGGUCUCCCUGGACCCUAGAGGUCCCUGAAGGUCCGUCACAGACUAUGACGUGGAUAGGCGGGAUGUGGAAGCGCGGUAACGCGUGCAGCUAACCCGUACUAAUUGACCGUGCGGCUUGACCCU